ACCAGCCAUGCCGCGUUGCAGUGAAGAAUGCCCUCUGGGUUGUAAACUGCUUUUAUCAGGGAAUAAACCCGUUCUACGUGUAGGAGGCUGAAUGUACCUGAGGAAUAAGGAUCGGCUAACUCCGUGCCAGCAGCCGCGGUAAUACGGAGGAUCCAAGCGUUAUCCGGAUUUAUUGGGUUUAAAGGGUGCGUAGGCGGCUUAUUAAGUCAGGGGUGAAAGACGGUGGCUCAACCAUCGCAGUGCCUUUGAUACUGAUGAGCUUGAAUAUACUUGAGGUAGGCGGAAUGUGACAAGUAGCGGUGAAAUGCAUAGAUAUGUCACAGAACACCGAUUGCGAAGGCAGCUUACCAAGGUAUGAUUGACGCUGAGGCACGAAAGCGUGGGGAUCAAACAGGAUUAGAUACCCUGGUAGUCCACGCCCUAAACGAUGAAUACUCGAUGUUGGCGAUAUACAGUCAGCGUCCAAGCGAAAGCGUUAAGUAUUCCACCUGGGGAGUACGCCCGCAAGGUUG
rnacentral:rRNA from 1 species